AAGUCGUAACAAGGUAACCGUAGGUGAACCUGCGGUUGGAUCAUUACCGAUUUUGUCGAGAGGGUCGAGUCGUUUGAUUCCCCUUUUGGCGAUAUACCACUGUGCACUGCAAUGUAUUUUGGGCUAUGCCCAGCAUUAUGAACCAACGAAAUUUUUUGUCUUAGAGUAUCUAAUAGAAACAACUUUUGACAACGGAUCUCUUGGCUCUC
rnacentral:misc_RNA from 1 species